rnacentral:lncRNA from 12 species
UCAUCCUUAUAAUUCCAACGAAAAGGACACAGCAUUGGAGUGCUUUGCAAUCUAGCUUCGUGUUCUUUACCCCUCAUCUGUUUUUUUUUUUUCAAUGUGGGUGUCCUGUGCCCCAUUUUCCGAUUUCUUUCCUAUUUUCUGCACGUGGAGGAAUCAGGAAUUCCAUGUGUACCAUUGCCCUCAAGGAUACAUGAGGUAAAUGUGUUAGUUAGGGGGUAAAAACGCCUUAAUUCGGGAAUCUGUAUUUAGAAGAUUUAGUUGCUCUGUAUUAUAAAGAGACCGUGCGCAUGUGACCGAAACGUAUUUAUAAAUGUGAGAACCGACUUCCUCUAUCCGCAUCCGCCAUGCUGAUGCAGGGUGUUGGGACUGGUGUGUGCGCGCGUGCAUGUGUGUGAUUAUCUGUCACAAUUUCGUUUUCUUUACAGCAGCCCCUUUGCUCAGUUGAAUGUCACUUCUCCGUGUCUCUUCCUAUUCCUGGUGUCUGCUCACUUCCUUCUGCAUCCACCUCCUCAUAGCCAUGGCCAGUGUUCCAUGAGGAACCUCUCCGGGAAUCCUGCAAGAGUCUAGCUUUCCUCCGAGGCUCGCGGUUCCCUGGGUGGACUGAACAAAAGCUCUCAUCUCCGUGCCCUACACGCCCUUUGCAGCCCUGGGCAGAGAACAAGGAUGACAGAAUUUCCUCCACGGCCUCUGGAACAAGGUCCUCUGCACCCAAGCUUCUGUCUCCGGAGCUGGCUCCGUGGCUGAGGAUGCAAGCGUCCCUCCCCACUGGGAGGCCAGAGCAAUGAGCGGUUUAUCUCAUCUUUAUUCUCCGGGACCCACGGAUAACUUCGAACCAGGGACAGUGUGAGUACGUACGUGAACGAGUGAAAGUGGUUUGAUGGUGCACGCGAUGGUGUGAAUUACACGUACAACGUAUUAUAAAACGGCACGUGUUCUCAUUAGCACACGUUUUCCUCUUUGCGUAGAAUCAGAGCGUACUGUGUUGUCGGUGUCACUAGACCAGAUCUUGACUUCAGCCUCAUAAACAUUUGAAUUCAUUUUUGUGUUGACUCUAGUGCUAUGAAGGCAGUCGGGGAUCUUGGUGGGAAGAGCACGUUGAUAUAAGGGAAAUGUCAUCUAUGAGCAUGAACUGCUUUUUUUCUUUUCUCCCUUGGGUUGUACUUUCGAUGCAAGAGUAAACCACAAAACAAGCAAAUACCUGGGAAAAGCUGUAGCGUUAGUUUUAGGGAAAGGAUCCCUCUCACGUAUGAAAACAUCUUUCUUUUGUGAGAACUAUUGGGUCUGCGGGUUCUCUGCAGAUCGUGUGUGCCUUCAACCUGUGAUGUAAACCCAGAAACAUAGGAUUGGCCGAAGUCUUGCUUACCCCAUGGCGCCAGCGAACCCAAUACUGCUUGGCAUCUCUGAAGGACUAGCAUGCGUGUUUACACUAUGAUUAUUAGGGAUUUGUUUCCUUUGUUUUUUUCUAUCUACCACGAUGGGUUUGUGUUUCUCCACAGGGUAAAAAAAAAAAUUAGCUUGAAACAAAAGGAGGACUGAACAAUAUUGAAAGCAGCU